GGCCCCGUAGCUCAGUCGGAUAGAGCAUCAGACUUCUAAUCUGCCGGUCGAGAGUUCGAAUCUCUCCGGGGUCG
rnacentral:tRNA from 1 species